rnacentral:rRNA from 1 species
UACGUAGGGGUGCGACGUUGUUCGGAAUUAUUGGGCGUAAAGCGCGUGUAGGCGGCUUUGCAAGUCGGGUGUGAAAUCCCUCAGCUUAACUGAGGAAGUGCGCCGAAACUGCCGAGCUUGAGUACCGGAGAGGGUGGCGGAAUUCCCCAAGUAGAGUGAAAUUCGUAGAUAUGGGGGGAGGAACACCGGUGGCGAAGGCGCCACCUGGACGGAUACUGACGCUGAGACGCGAAGCGUGGGGGGGAGCAAACAGG